AAUCAUCACGAGCCGAAUUCCCGGGCACCAGGAAGCGGGGGAUCCAAUUUUGGGUGAAUUGAUCUCGCUACAGAGGGAUCAUAGGGGACCUUCUACCGAAUCCUUAAGCUAACCUCGCAGGCAUUGGAAGGGGUUUAU
rnacentral:sRNA from 1 species